GACGAACGCUGGCGGCGUGCCUAAUACAUGCAAGUCGAGCGAGCUUGCCUAGAUGAUUUUAGUGCUUGCACUAAAUGAAACUAGAUACAAGCGAGCGGCGGACGGGUGAGUAACACGUGGGUAACCUGCCCAAGAGACUGGGAUAACACCUGGAAACAGAUGCUAAUACCGGAUAACAACACUAGACGCAUGUCUAGAGUUUGAAAGAUGGUUCUGCUAUCACUCUUGGAUGGACCUGCGGUGCAUUAGCUAGUUGGUAAGGUAACGGCUUACCAAGGCAACGAUGCGUAGCCGACCUGAGAGGGUGAUCGGCCACACUGGGACUGAGACACGGCCCAG
rnacentral:rRNA from 1 species